rnacentral:piRNA from 1 species
UNGCUUCACUUCUUGAGCCUUUUUCUAGAC